rnacentral:rRNA from 1 species
CCUACGGGGGGCAGCAGUGGGGAAUAUUGGGCAAUGGGCGCAAGCCUGACCCAGCAACGCCGCGUGAAGGAAGAAGGCUUUCGGGUUGUAAACUUCUUUUGACAGGGAAGAGUAGAAGACGGUACCUGUCGAAUAAGCCACGGCUAACUACGUGCCAGCAGCCGCGGUAAUACGUAGGUGGCAAGCGUUGUCCGGAUUUACUGGGUGUAAAGGGCGUGUAGCCGGGUUGACAAGUCAGAUGUGAAAUCCUGCGGCUUAACCGCAGAACUGCAUUUGAAACUGUUGAUCUUGAGUACUGGAGAGGCAGACGGAAUUCCUAGUGUAGCGGUGAAAUGCGUAGAUAUUAGGAGGAACACCAGUGGCGAAGGCGGUCUGCUGGACAGCAACUGACGGUGAGGCGCGAAAGCGUGGGGAGCAAACAGGAUUAGAUACACCAGUAGUC